rnacentral:rRNA from 1 species
CCAAUAGCGUAUAUUAAAGUUGUUGCAGUUAAAAAGCUCGUAGUUGAAUUUCGGGAUCAGUUGGUCAGUCGUGCCUCGGUACGUACUGGUCAAAUUGAUUCCUACCUUCUGACGAACCACGAUGUCAUUAAUUUGGUGUCGCGGGAAAUCAGGACUGUUACUUUGAAAAAAUUAGAGUGUUUAAAGCAGGCUCGCGCUUGAAUACAUUAGCAUGGAAUAAUGAAAUAGGACGUUUGAUUCUAUUUUGUUGGUUUCUAGGAUCGACGUAAUGAUUAAUAGGGAUAGUUGGGGGCAUUAGUAUUCAAUUGUCAGAGGUGAAAUUCUUGGAUUUAUUGAAGACUAACUACUGCGAAAGCAUUUGCCAAGGAUGUUUUCAUUAAUCAAGAACGAAAGUUAGGGGAUCGAAGACGAUCAGAUACCGUCGUAGUCUUAACCAUAAACUAUGCCGACUAGGGAUCGGAUGAUGUUAAUUUUUUAAUGACUCAUUCGGCGCCUUACG